GAUGAACGCUAGCGGAGCGCCUAACACAUGCAAGUCGAACGGUACUUCGGUACAGUGGCAGACGGGCGAGUAACACGUGCUUAAUUUGCCUCGGAGCGGGGAACAACGGUUGAAAGGCCGCUAAUUCCCCAUACGAUCCUAGAAAUGAAAAUACUAGGAUGAAAGGUUUACCACUCCGAGAGAAGAGCGCGGCCUAUUAGAUAGUUGGUGAGGUAAUGGCUCACCAAGUCGAUGAUGGGUAGCUGGUCUGAGAGGAUGACCAGCCGCAAUGGAACUGAGACACGGUCCAUACCCCUACGGGGGGCAGCAGUGGGGAAUAUUGGACAAUGGGGGAAACCCUGAUCCAGCGACUCCGCGUGGAGGAUGACGCAUUACGGUGUGUAAACUCCUUUUUUGGAGGAAGACGACUGACGGUACUCCAAGAAUAAGCGACGGCUAACUACGUG
rnacentral:rRNA from 1 species